UCAAAACAGACAAACAGGAAU
rnacentral:miRNA from 1 species